UACUAGAGUAGCACUCGCAUAUCAAUAAGCGGAGGAAAAGAAACUAACAAGGAUUCCCCUAGUAACGGCGAGUGAAGCGGGAAGAGCUCAAAUUUGAAAUCUUAAAGGGUUUCCCUUUACGAAUUGUAGUUUAAAGAAGUGUUUUCUGUUGAGGUUUUGGUAAAAGUUCUUUGGAAUAGGACAUCAUAGAGGGUGAGAAUCCCGUAUUUGACCUUUACUUUCAACUUUGUGAUACACUUUCAAAGAGUCGGAUUGUUUGGGAAUGCAGUCCAAAAUGGGUGGUAAAUUUCAUCUAAAGCUAAAUAUUGGCGAGAGACCGAUAGCGAACAAGUACCGUGAGGGAAAGAUGAAGAGAACUUUGAAAAGAGAGUUAAACAGUACGUGAAAUUGUCAAAAGGGAAGCGUUUGACACCAGUGUUGUUUUUCUGAAAAUCAAUUAAAGAACUGUUUAUGCUAAGUUGUUUAGACUUUAUCAGCUAUCUGUUUAGUUUUAGGCUUUUCUUUAAUGCACUUUUCAGUUAACAAGUCAACAUCAAUUUCUUUUGCUGUAAAAAAGCUUGAGGAAGGUGGCUUGAGAUUCGUCUUAAGUGUUUAUAGCCUCUUGCCUAUGCAGUCGGAGAGAUUGAGGUCUGCAGCGUAGAUCCUUCGGGGCUAAAUGCAUUUGUGCUAAGUUAUAGCAUUUUAUAGACAACUUGUUGACUAUGAUUUGUCUUGUAGCUUACUCGCUUAUGUUAUUUUACCUACGCUUAGGAUGUUGAGCGCAUGUCUCUCUCU
rnacentral:rRNA from 1 species